AUACUCUGGUUUCUCUUCAGAUUGCAUAAAUCUUUCGCUUUUUACUGAAGAUUUCUGUGGAGAGGAAAAAUUCUGAGUUUUUAGCCAAUUUUUUGAGGCCUUUCCUUAGCACGGCU